UACGUAGGGUGCAAGCGUUAAUCGGAAUUACUGGGCGUAAAGCGUGCGCAGGCGGUUUUGUAAGUCUGUCGUGAAAUCCCCGGGCUCAACCUGGGAAUUGCGAUGGAGACUGCAAGGCUAGAAUCUGGCAGAGGGGGGGUAGAAUUCCACGUGUAGCAGUGAAAUGCGUAGAGAUGUGGAGGAACACCGAUGGCGAAGGCAGCCCCCUGGGUCAAGAUUGACGCCUCAUGCACGAAAGCGUGGGGAGCAA
rnacentral:rRNA from 1 species